GUCAAGAGAUAGUUGCUCAAAUAAACAAUUGUCAAGGCACACAGCAAGAACAGGAGAAACUGAAAGUACAUCCCUAAUUGAAUCAUCAUCAGAAUCCAUACUAGAGGAGGCCAAAACAUGCUAUAGCCCCAGACAUGCAAAGGUAGUGGAGAGGCCUCGUCUGGGUUGGUUUGGAACUGCAGAUAGGGUGAGACCAAAGGUGGACACGGAACUUCUUGCACAGAACAGAUGCAUUGCCAUUUUACGCUACAAGGAGAAGAAGAAAACUCGAAGAUUCGAUAAUCGUGUCCGUUAUGAAUCAAGGAAGGCUAUGGCUGAUUCGAGGAAACGAGUGAAAGGGCGCUUUGCGAAGGCAAGUGAAAAUUGCUGAUAUUUGCAGCUGGAGAUACGGAGCGUGAAGUUUACACUAUCGCGUUUUACAUAUCGUGAACAGAGGAUUGAUCAAAUCAUAUAUGAAAUAUUUUUCCUUAAUAUCAGCCUAUGUGGG
rnacentral:misc_RNA from 1 species